UACGGGGGGGGGCAAGCGUUGUUCGGAAUUACUGGGCGUAAAGGGCGCGUAGGCGGCCUGCUAAGUCGGACGUGAAAUCCCUCAGCUUAACUGGGGGAACUGCGUCUGAUACUGGAUGGCUUGAGUUUGGGAGAGGGAUGCGGAAUUCCAGGUGUAGCGGUGAAAUGCGUAGAUAUCUGGAGGAACACCGGUGGCGAAGGCGGCAUCCUGGACCAACACUGACACUGAGGAGCGAAAGCCAGGGGAGCAAACGGG
rnacentral:rRNA from 1 species